rnacentral:rRNA from 2 species
UUAGCGGCGGACGGGUGAGUAACACGUGGGCAACCUGCCCAUUAGACUGGGAUAACUCCGGGAAACCGGAGCUAAUACCGGAUAAUCCCUUUCUCCACCUGGAGAGAGGGUGAAAGAUGGCUUCGGCUAUCACUAGGGGAUGGGCCCGCGGCGCAUUAGCUAGUUGGUAAGGUAACGGCUUACCAAGGCAACGAUGCGUAGCCGACCUGAGAGGGUGAUCGGCCACACUGGGACUGAGACACGGCCCAGACUCCUACGGGAGGCAGCAGUAGGGAAUCUUCCGCAAUGGACGAAAGUCUGACGGAGCAACGCCGCGUGAGUGAGGAAGGCCUUCGGGUCGUAAAGCUCUGUUGUGAGGGAAGAAGCGGUACCGUUCGAAUAGGGCGGUACCUUGACGGUACCUCACCAGAAAGCCACGGCUAACUACGUGCCAGCAGCCGCGGUAAUACGUAGGUGGCAAGCGUUGUCCGGAAUUAUUGGGCGUAAAGCGCGCGCAGGCGGCUUCUUAAGUCUGAUGUGAAAUCUCGGGGCUCAACCCCGAGCGGCCAUUGGAAACUGGGGAGCUUGAGUGCAGAAGAGGAGAGUGGAAUUCCACGUGUAGCGGUGAAAUGCGUAGAGAUGUGGAGGAACACCAGUGGCGAAGGCGACUCUCUGGUCUGUAACUGACGCUGAGGCGCGAAAGCGUGGGGAGCAAACAGGAUUAGAUACCCUGGUAGUCCACGCCGUAAACGAUGAGUGCUAGGUGUUAGGGGUUUCGAUGCCCGUAGUGCCGAAGUAACACAUAAGC